CAUCGAGGUGUGCCUGGGAGAAGCACAGCUGAAACAGGAGUGGAGGAGAAAUCCAGGCUGCUGCUGGUGAACCUGGAGGACAUUGAGCUGGGCCUGGGGGAAGCACAGCGGAAACAGGAGUGCAGGAGAAAUCCAGACUACUGCUGGAGAACCUGGAGGACAUUGAGCUGGGCCUGGGGGAAGCACAGGUGAAACAGGAGUGUAGGAGAAAUCCAGACUGCUGCUGGAGAACCUGGAGGACAUUGAGCUGUGCCUGGGAGAAGCCCAGCGGAAACAGGAGUGUAGGAGAGAUCCAGACUGCUGCUGGAGGACAUCGAGCUGGGCCUGGGGGAGGCACAGGUGAUCAUCGGCGUGUUGGGAGAACCAGUCGCUGCGAUUAAAAGCUGGACAAAACCCAACACAAACUGCAGAAGAGCAAACAGAGCAUCGCGCAGCUGAAGGAGGAGAAGCACCUGGAGUUCAUCACCAGAUUGCGCUGAUCAGGCGGAACAUCAGUUUCUAAACCAUCUGGACAAAACCUUCAUCUGCUCCCUGUGUGUCAGUCUUGGGUUGUCAUUGCUGAUUCAGAUCAGUGGGUUCAGCUGGAGCCAUCAGUCUGUAGAGAUGGAGACUCAGAGUUCAAGAUCAGCACUCCGGCGGGUCAAUUCCAGAGCAGCAGGACCAGACUACGACGAGUCCGGUGGAAAUGUCACCCAUCCACUGCCCGGUAGUGGAGAAAAUUUUCUCAGCACAGCUGGAGAGGCCGUCAAGCUCCCCAGCAAGCAAUAGCCGUCAUUUCACCGGCUAGGUGAAGUAUAGACCAGAUCUAGCCCGGCUACGUGUAACCCAAUUUUAGCUCGAAAAACCUUAAAUUUGGUUGCAUGUUGUUUUUUGCUAAAUAAAGCUUAUAUAUGUAUGAUACUCCAUCAUGUAAGAAAAGUCAAUAACGUUUAUGAGGUUCCAGCAAGUAAUAGACGUAGUUUCAGUUUCUCGGUGAAGUAUACCAAUCUAGUCCGGCUAUGUGUAACCCAUCUCUAGCCCAAAAAAACCUUAAAUUAGCUUACCUGUCUUUUUUUGGCAAAAUACCUUGUGAUAUGUAUGAUAUUCCUUCAAGUAAGGAAAGUCAAUCGCAUAUAAGGUGUUUGGGUAUUUAAAAAUAUAUGCUAUUUUCAUAGUCUCAGCGUAGCCUUGAAUUAGCUCGUCGUCCGGCCGGCUAUUUAUAGCCCACUGAUAGCCUAAACUGAUUCACUGUAUUUGGCCAUGCAGCGCGUGCAUCACGCACGCAGUAUCAGUAAGUGUUAAGGUGUAAUUUCGUGACAUGUUCUAUUUGUAGCCAUAAUUUAGCUUUGAAUUAGAUGGGCUUUACCUACCUCAUAAAAUUGAUAUAAAAAUUAAUUGCAGACUUAUUGCCUUUUUAUUUUUAAUUAAAAAUGAAUAUGGUAUAAUAUAUUUUAUUUAUAAUAUAUUACCUAUAUCUUACGGUAAAACAAGCCAGAUCUAAUCAGUUAAGAAAAAUCAAUGCAAUUCUGUACUCCACAUGAUAGAUGGCGGUAUUGCACAUUUGUCGAGUCGGCUCGGCUGAAAUGGACCAACAAAUCAAGAGGAAGAAACUGUUGUGGUUUGAAAUUUGUAGCGCGUUGGAUUGCGAGCGCGAGUGCCCUGCAAGAUAUUUGAGUGUGGCUGUGUAAAAUGAGCAGUCUAGCAGUUUUAAUACGUAACCAUCAAGCGUGAUUGUGUCCUGAAGACCUACCUCAUUUGAAGAGUCUGUGCAUCUACCUCAAUGAAGACUUGUAAAGGAAUAUGUGGACUGAAAGUGGCUGAAUCUCAAUGCACACACAACAGUGGAGAUCUUUAUCGUUUGGGCUGAGGAUGCUGGUCCUGGGGACAGACCUACAGAUGUUGGUGUAGAAGUUUUGCAGAACCUGCUGAGUGUCACAUAGAUUGGAUGGACUUUUUGGGUUCAUGUACACUUAAAGGGUUUUUUUAACCAGAAAUGAAAAUGUUUAAUUAUUCAUGUCGUACCAAACAUUUAUUUGUCUUCGAAGUACAAAUUAAGAUACUUCAAGUGAAAUCUGAGAGCUCUCUCAUUCUCUAUAGACAGCAAUGGUCCCAACUUGUUUAAAGUCCAGAGAAAAACCUAAAACAUCCUCAAAACAGACCACAUGCUUUCAGUUGUUCAAUCAGAAUAUUUUUAAGCUACAAGAAUAAUUUUGAGUGCAUAUAAAGCAAAAAUAACAGCCUUUGAGUUUCUUUAUUCUGUUGAACAAGAUAUUUUGAAGAAAGCUGAAUACCUGUAACCAUUGGUAUAUAACCUGUACUUCCAUGGUAUGUUUUUUACAGGUUUUCAGCUUUCUUUAAAAUAUCU